GUCGGUCAUCUGGAGCAGUCGUAUAUCUAUCUCCUGUCUCUGGCCAAGAUAGACGACUCGUCCGAAUGGCGUUGAAAUCCUAAACCUAUACAUCAAAAACUAUUGCAUGAACAGACUGCCAUCAACGGAUAUUGUCAUCUAUUCCGCACCGGCACCAAAAAUUUCAGAGAUCUCAAGCCUUUUUCUCGUCUUUCCCGUGAACGGACCUGUUGGUUGAUUCAUUUGUGUGGUCGUCUGUUGCAAUAUUGCCACCCAUCUCGCCAUUGUUGGACAUUCCAAGGCAGGACUUGUCGAUUCUUGAGAGGGGAAACAUUUCCCAGUUCUCUCCUCCUCCUCUAACCAGACGAAAGAUUUAUUGCGAAUAUUCCAAAUGGCCGCAUUUCUCGACCAGUUUAUGGCUGUUAAACCAACAAGGAAGGCAUUACAAAACAUUAAAUUUGGCUACGCACCAACAUUUCAGAGAUACAUCUCAAGCUAAUGCGAUAUAAAUCAGACGUGGAUCUGAUCGCCACCCUGAGUAAGGUCAGUGAAUGCAUUACAUUGAUUGAGGAGGGGUGUCUGAGAUGGGAUUUGCGCCCCCCCCCUCCCUAGAAGAGAGCCCUCAGACCCGGGGAACAAGGAACGAGGACCGAGACAGUGCAGGUAAUCAAUAUGGGUCAUUUGAGACAGUUUAAGAGCAUGUUUUAGGGCUCUAAAAUAGAUGGUUUGAUAGAAAAAUUCGGCACUGGCGAUUUCUAUUUUCUGCAUCUCUUGUUCAUGAUUAGUGUGAAAAAACUAAACUCUGGAAUUAGACGUUGCUUGAGAAUAUAGAGCGAUCCAGUGGUUUGAGGACUUCCGAGAAAGUGCUUGACUGACGAAACAGGAGAUUUGAGGUUGAUUUCAAUUGAGGGGAUUCAUUUUUUUGUCAUUGAAGAACUAAUUAGUAUUCAGAGCAGAGAGGGAAAGAGUUUCGAGGAGUGAAAAAACUCAUUUACAACAGAUCAAGUAGAAAAAUCCGGGAGAGGGGACGCCAGGCCAGGCAAGCAGCGAGCACCAUGCCAAACUAGCCAUAAUACGUUUCCCACCAUUAAAAAGCCAUUCAAUGAAUUGAAUAUUGUAAUGUGCUCGCCAUUAGAGCAAUCUCCACGAAGGCUAAUCCCUUCCCAGUUUGCUUUUUUUCUUUUAUUUCCCACCUUAUUUCAGGGGCGCUGAUAUUUGCAUACUGUGUGGAUCAGUUGCCUAUCAAGGCGGUGUAGGAAUAACCCACACUCAGCAUUCGCAAAAAAUGUGAUGACUGGAAAUAGAGCUUAGGUGGAGAAGCAAAACUAACAGGAAAAUUAAGCCUAAUUGCUUGGCAUUUCCAACCAAUGUAGAGUAUGAAUCGUUUGAAUCUAUCCACGAACAUAGGAGUGGUCACGAGAAUGAUCAUCCGUUGCUAAAGCAGUAAUAAUGGUGGCGGUAUCAAUUUCAUUUCCUCUUAUUAUGCCUAGUUACCUCCAGCUCCACCUUCACCUUGGUACGGGUCUACUGAAGUUCUGGCUUGCCUUGGUGUACUGUUAUGGUUCGUCGACGGCCUGUUAAAUGAGUCAGAGAGGAAGUUUAGGUUGUUGCCCUUUCGAUUCAUGAAGAUGGACUCUUUGGCCUCAGCUCUGACAACUGUUAGCAAGGAGGCAUGAUGAUGAUGAUGAUAAUCAUCAGAAGGAUGGCGGCAACGACGAUCGACGACCCUCUCAUUUGGUGGGUCUGGUCUUCAAUCUCCACAAACCACGUUUGUAACAGUUUCAGCCCUGAAAUGUCUACUCAUCUCCCCACAGCAACUCUCUGAUCUCCUUUUUUUCUUCCCCACAUAUCCUCUCUUUAGAGCGUUGGGGUUCCUCAAGGAAAUCUCCUCGGUCCCCCGUCCCCUAUUUUUGUUCUUUGGUUCGUUGAUGCCAGACACAAGACCAACAAUAUAUGAGGCCUUUCCAUCCCUGAACGAAUAUCCCUCUCAGCUAAGACUUGGUGCUCUUCUCUUAAAUGGUGGCAAGCUCUUAUCCCAUUUUAAGUUAGACGUGUGGCGUUGCGGAGGGCUGCUUUAGCAUCCGUUGACCCGUCUUUGAAGGCAAGUUAUGAGUUCUGCAAUAAAGGUUUGGCUUUGCAAAAGAGAAUUGCAUCCAUUUGGAGGGCAAUUAAGGUUUAGGGCUCACUUGAUACAGAUUUCACUGGGGAAGUUGUCGUUUUUUAGACACAAGCAAAGUCGACGUGGAUGAUGGCCCAAGAAGAGGCCGCAAAAUUGGGUAAUUUUGUGGAGCACUCACAAGUGAAUACGUAGAGAGUGUACUACCUUGGAGUACGACGCUGUCUGUUUGCGCUAUAGGUUUAAAAGAGGAUGCUGUGUACAGCGUGCAUAUUGUAGAUACUGGGGAACUGAUUAUUAUGUUUCAGGCCAUCACAAUUAUGUCAUAUUUGAAAAAGGUGCAAAGAUCACCAAAUCACCCUCUCAGAGACAAUUUUCUAGUUAAAGCAAGUAGGAUUAGUCAAACGAGAGCACCACGUCAAUUUGUCUCGACUCCAGACUGAAUAGAUCGAGCGACCCACACCAUAUUCCCAGACAAUGGGCUCAAUUUCAUUACAAACCAAUUACAAGAAUUGGUUCUACUUGUCUCGGCUCGAAAAACCAUUGGUCAUUGAGAAAACCCCUCCUCAAUGAGCAUGCAAGAACAAAAUCAUGUGGUCUGGGAGGCUCUACCUACUGCAGAGAUGGAUCUAUCCAUCGCUGGUCCAGAAUGGAGCCGUAACAAUUAUUGAGAAGGCUCUUCUUGUCUUGGAAUUGAAAAUGACCAGGGUAGAAAGAAAGAGCAAGAGGAUGACGGUGAAGAAGGAAAAAAAUGAUUGGAAAUGGUGUGCCUGAACAUGUGAUUUGGUCAUGCUUGAAUUGCUCAUGUUUACAUAUUUUGUGGGUUUAAACGAGAAGAAAAAGAACGUGAGUGCAUUUAGACUUGCUAUCAACGAGUUCCCACGAAGCAAUGACGUAUAGUAAUUAGUCGCGACGGGGAAAUUGACUCUCAUUUAAUGUUCGGGAUGAUGCAUAUUCCUGGUCGGCCACUUCAGCUACUUCCACUACUUCAAUUGCCGAGGCUGACGAGAAAAAUUACUUUGCCAACAUCAUCGUCAUGGGUGGCGGGCGUCAUUUAUUACCACUCUAUCAAGCCACACUCUACUUCUAUCCACAGAUCUGGCAUCAAGAGAUCAGCCAACGAAACAGAAAUAUGCAAUCCAUUUCCUUUUACUUGGAUUUGAAGUGGAUCCAUUGUUGAAAUGUGUGUGAAGCAAGCUACUCAUCAGAUGUUAUCAAAGAGCAAAAUCAAGUACAGUAAUGUUCAAAAAAAUCUAUAUCUAUGCCAAUAUCUAUGUUAUUGAUUGCGGAUCCGAUAUUAACAAAAGCCGCCAACAAACAAGCCUUCAAAUUGGCUCAUAUCUACCAUAUCUUAACAGGCCUGGUCGUUCGUUCGUCGUUCUUUCAUAUGGAUAGUCGAGUGGUUGGUGUUGACUUGAGGUGCAGGUGGGGUUCAAGACUAACUAAUAGGGGAGCUCAGUAUAUCUCUCUGGUGAGGAGUGGGACGAAGAGACACUUCAGUGAAGGAUCUCAAACAUAUUGAUGAGCCAUAACGCCGAUAAGGAGGGCCCCUCUACUCUACAAAAUCGUUUGCUGGGGCAUGUUAAAAAACAGAGAGGCCCGAAAAUCUGAAAUGCAAGAUGUAGUAGAGCAGAGGGCACCUCUCCUAAGAAUCAUAAUUGGCAUGAGACCAAACAACAUUUUUGACAUUUCAAUGUCAAGGUGACCUCUGGAUUCCGCACCGUGUUCUAAUUGGCAUUGAGCGCUUGCGAAGUGGAUGAUAGCUUGCGUAAGAUAAAGAUAAUUAUCAGAUAUUCCACCUCAGUGAUGCAUGCAAACCUCCGCUAAUGAAGGGACCUGAGUUGAAACCUGGCCAAAAUGCUGCAAAGGGUCCUAGUUUUUUGCACACUGGAGAACGUGCUUGUACCCCGGGGGAAUAUUUUUUUUUUUGCUAAAUAAAAGAGCCAACGUGUCUGCUGCAGUUUUUUGUACGUAUUUUUUCCCCUCAGUUCAAACCAUUUGGCACAGUUUCAUUUCAUAAUAUCUUCCCAGGGUGCUUAAAAGAUGAGCCGAGUAGCCAACCAACAACCAUCAGACGAACCACAGACACCCGAAAGGCAAAUGAAACAGAGAUUGGACAGCAUUCCAGACCUAGAAAUGAAAUAAUGUCUACAAGGGUCAGCUGAACGAACGGGAAUCUCUCUUCUGCUCUUUUACUAUUGGCCACUCCGAUGUUGGUGUGUAAAGAAUCGGAAUGUCCAAAGAAUGCUUGCCGUCUUUGAAACUGCGGUCCAAAUCUGAAACUGAAUGAAUCUGUAGAUAUUUGAACGUAGCGCUUUUCUUGUCUAGAAUUGCAAGUGUGUUUUGCACCUGCUUUUGAGAGCUAAAAUUGUGGCUCGCAUCACGAAAUUUGGUCCGGGAAAGCAUCGGAAGCUUUUCGUGCUUUUUUGCGGCCGGACCAAACUGGUGCGGAAAAUACCAUAUGAAAAAAAUAAAACA